AACGAACGCUGGCGGCAUGCCUAACACAUGCAAGUCGAACGAGACCUUCGGGUCUAGUGGCGCACGGGUGCGUAACGCGUGGGAACCUGCCCUUAGGUUCGGAAUAACUCAGAGAAAUUUGAGCUAAUACCGGAUAAUGUCUUCGGACCAAAGAUUUAUCGCCUUUGGAUGGGCCCGCGUAGGAUUAGCUUGUUGGUGGGGUAAUGGCCUACCAAGGCGACGAUCCUUAGCUGGUCUGAGAGGAUGAUCAGCCACACUGGGACUGAGACACGGCCCAGACUCCUACGGGAGGCAGCAGUGGGGAAUAUUGGACAAGGGGCGAAAGCCUGAUCCAGCAAUGCCGCGUGAGUGAUGAAGGCCUUAGGGUUGUAAAGCUCUUUUACCAGGGAUGAUAAUGACAGUACCUGGAGAAUAAGCUCCGGCUAACUCCGUG
rnacentral:rRNA from 1 species